rnacentral:rRNA from 1 species
GUUGGGUAGGGGAGCGUUCUGUAAGCCUGUGAAGGUGUGUCGUGAGGCAUGCUGGAGGUAUCAGAAGUGCGAAUGCUGACAUAAGUAACGAUAAAGCGGGUGAAAAGCCCGCUCGCCGGAAGACCAAGGGUUCCUGUCCAACGUUAAUCGGGGCAGGGUGAGUCGACCCCUAAGGCGAGGCCGAAAGGCGUAGUCGAUGGGAAACGGGUUAAUAUUCCCGUACUUGGUGUUACUGCGAAGGGGGGACGGAGAAGGCUAUGUUGGCCGGGCGACGGUUGUCCCGGUUUAAGCGUGUAGGUGUGUGUUCCAGGUAAAUCCGGUUCACUUUAACACUGAGGCGUGAUGACGAGGCACUACGGUGCUGAAGUAACAAAUGCCCUGCUUCCAGGAAAAGCCUCUAAGCAUCAGGUAACAUCAAAUCGUACCCCAAACCGACACAGGUGGUCAGGUAGAGAAUACCAAGGCGCUUGAGAGAACUCGGGUGAAGGAACUAGGCAAAAUGGUGCCGUAACUUCGGGAGAAGGCACGCUGACACGUAGGUGAAGUGAUUUACUCACGGAGCUGAAGUCAGUCGAAGAUACCAGCUGGCUGCAACUGUUUAUUAAAAACACAGCACUGUGCAAACACGAAAGUGGACGUAUACGGUGUGACGCCUGCCCGGUGCCGGAAGGUUAAUUGAUGGGGUCAGCGCAAGCGAAGCUCCUGAUCGAAGCCCCGGUAAACGGCGGCCGUAACUAUAACGGUCCUAAGGUAGCGAAAUUCCUUGUCGGGUAAGUUCCGACCUGCACGAAUGGCGUAAUGAUGGCCAGGCUGUCUCCACCCGAGACUCAGUGAAAUUGAACUCGCUGUGAAGAUGCAGUGUACCCGCGGCAAGACGGAAAGACCCCGUGAACCUUUACUAUAGCUUGACACUGAACAUUGAGCCUUGAUGUGUAGGAUAGGUGGGAGGCUUUGAAGUGUGGACGCCAGUCUGCAUGGAGCCGACCUUGAAAUACCACCCUUUAAUGUUUGAUGUUCUAACGUGGACCCGUUACCCGGGUUGCGGACAGUGUCUGGUGGGUAGUUUGACUGGGGCGGUCUCCUCCUAAAGAGUAACGGAGGAGCACGAAGGUUGGCUAAUCCUGGUCGGACAUCAGGAGGUUAGUGCAAUGGCAUAAGCCAGCUUGACUGCGAGCGUGACGGCGCGAGCAGGUGCGAAAGCAGGUCAUAGUGAUCCGGUGGUUCUGAAUGGAAGGGCCAUCGCUCAACGGAUAAAAGGUACUCCGGGGAUAACAGGCUGAUACCGCCCAAGAGUUCAUAUCGACGGCGGUGUUUGGCACCUCGAUGUCGGCUCAUCACAUCCUGGGGCUGAAGUAGGUCCCAAGGGUAUGGCUGUUCGCCAUUUAAAGUGGUACGCGAGCUGGGUUUAGAACGUCGUGAGACAGUUCGGUCCCUAUCUGCCGUGGGCGCUGGAGAACUGAGGGGGGCUGCUCCUAGUACGAGAGGACCGGAGUGGACGCAUCACUGGUGUUCGGGUUGUCAUGCCAAUGGCACUGCCCGGUAGCUAAAUGCGGAAGAGAUAAGUGCUGAAAGCAUCUAAGCACGAAACUUGCCCCGAGAUGAGUUCUCCCUGAGACUUUAGGUCUCCUGAAGGAACGUUGAAGACGACGACGUUGAUAGGCCGGGUGUGUAAGCGCAGCGAUGCGUUGAGCUAACCGGUACUAAUGAACCGUGAGGCUUAACCUUACAACGCCGAAG